rnacentral:rRNA from 1 species
GGAUGCGAUCAUACCAGCACUAACGCACCGGAUCCCAUCAGAACUCCGAAGUCAAGCGUGCUUGGGCGAGAGUAGUACUAGGAUGGGUGACCCCCUGGGAAGUCCUCGUGUUGCAUCCU